UUAAAGACAUUGAAGUCCCCUUAGGAUGGAUCGCCGAAAUAUAAAUUAUUGUCCUUGCAUUCCAUUAAUAUAUAACAAAAAUAGGCUUUAUUUAUUUUAAGAACUGAUCUUUGAACUACUUGCGUUUUGUUCAGUGUGGCGAAAGUGGUUACAAGAGAUCCAUAUUCUGCUUUCGAAAUUUAUGAACCUAGUGGCUCUUCAAUUUCCGGGAAGUCUCAAAGAGAUUCAUCUUCUGCUCUCGAAAUUUAUGAACCUAGUGGCUCUUCAAUUUCCAGGAAGUUUCAAAGAGAUUCAUCUUCUGCUCUUGAAAUUGAUGAACCUAGUGGCUCUUCAAUUUCUGGGAAGUCUCAGAGAGAUCCAUCUUCUGCUCUCGAAAUUGAUGAACCUAGUGGCUCUUCAAUUUCCGCGAAGUCUCAAAGAGAUCCGUCUUCUGCUCUCGAAAUUUAUGAACCUAGUGGCUCUUCAUUUUCCGAGAAGUCUCAAAGAGAUCCAUCUUUUGGUCUCAAAAUGGAUGAACCUAGUGGCUCUUCAAUUUCCGGGAAGUCUCAAAGAGAUCCAUCUUCUGCUCUCGAAAUUAAUGAACCUAGUGGCUCUUCAAUUUCCAAGAAGUCUCAAAGAGAUCCAUCUUCUGCUCUCAAAAUUUAUGAACCUAGUGGCGCUUCAAUUUCCGGGAAGUCUAAAAGAGAUCCAUCUUCUGCUCUCGAAAUUUAUGAACCUAGUGGCUUUACAGAGUUGACAACAUCCAAUGUCAAAAGAUUACUCUACAAAAUGAAAAAUAUUUUCCUACGGUGGCCGUACUUUGAUUGGAUGCAAAUGAUAUUGGUUGUGACUGUAAUAUCAGUCGAUCCUUUGUUUUUCUA
rnacentral:lncRNA from 1 species